ACCAGGUUCCAGUCUUAUUUCCGCCUCUCAUUAGCAUGCUACGAUUAGUCACAUCUCUACACUUCCCUGGCAUCCGCUCCUCCAUGUGUACGAUGGCACAUUUGGCUUGGGUCAAAGGACAGACACGCAAGGAGCUGCCUGGGCAGGACAGGUCCUGGCAGCAAAAUGCUGUGCAGUAGAGAAGGACCGCUGCAGCUGGCCCAACUCGGGAUAAAAAAUAGCAAAUGUGAAAAGACACAGAAAGGAUACCCCUUCAUUGAGACAGAUGGUGAAAGAGCCAGAAUUGCAUUUGCGGGAGUGACUUCUGGGAGCAUGAAGCAAGCUGGCAGAGGAGAAAGGAAAACUCAGAUUAGUUACAAAAAUGCUUGCACACCAUGAUUGGUUUACCACCACGCAGGGAACAACAAUGGUGGUGAGGACUCAAGGACUUCCAAUAAAAGGCUGGUAUCUGGAA